GAUGAACGCUGGCGGCGUGCCUAAUACAUGCAAGUCGAGCGAACAGACGAGGAGCUUGCUCCUCUGACGUUAGCGGCGGACGGGUGAGUAACACGUGGUUAACCUACCUAUAAGACUGGGAUAACUUCGGGAAACCGGAGCUAAUACCGGAUAAUAUAUUGAACCGCAUGGUUCAAUAGUGAAAGACGGUUUUGCUGUCACUUAUAGAUGGAUCCGCGCCGCAUUAGCUAGUUGGUAAGGUAACGGCUUACCAAGGCAACGAUGCGUAGCCGACCUGAGAGGGUGAUCGGCCACACGGGAACUGAGACACGGUCCAGACUCCUACGGGAGGCAGCAGUAGGGAAUCUUCCGCAAUGGGCGAAAGCCUGACGGAGCAACGCCGCGUGAGUGAUGAAGGUCUUCGGAUCGUAAAACUCUGUUAUUAGGGAAGAACAAAUGUGUAAGUAACUAUGCACGUCUGGACGGUACCUAAUCAGAAAGCCACGGCUAACUACGU
rnacentral:rRNA from 1 species